CGGAGGGGCGUAGCGUUAUUCGGAAUUACUGGGCGUAAAGCGCACGUAGGCGGAUCGGAAAGUUGGGGGUGGAAAUCCCAGGGCUCAACCCUGGAACUGCCUUCAAAACUCCCGGUCUUGAGGUCGAGAGAGGUGAGUGGAAUUCCGAGUGUAGAGGUGAAAUUCGUAGAUAUUCGGAGGAACACCAGUGGCGAAGGCGGCUCACUGGCUCGAUACUGACGCUGAGGUGCGAAAGCGUGGGGAGCAAACAGGAUU
rnacentral:rRNA from 1 species